AACCGCGGAAGCCGAGCGGAUCCCAGUCGUGUCGUCUCAAAGCCUCAGAAAUGAGGAAACAGAAAAUAAGUCCUGACACAGCGUUGCAAUCAUUCUGUGUUGUCUUCCCUCAUGGCAUUUCGAACACCCGCCGUCUUAAAAAGAAACGAAAAAGCAAGGAAAAGGAAAAUCUGAUUUCUCAAAGUUCAUUUUGAAACAUGAGAAUAACUAAAACUGGGGGACUGGCCAACCACUAAAACCAUCGCCGGCAACGAUCAAUUCAGUUAGGAUUCACCUGUGCCAUGGAAGUGGCUGACAUUUUUCCAAAAUUGGUUGCCAUGCUGAUGACAAAGAUCGAAAACGGAAAAUCGUGCGGGGCUAACGAGCCCUCGGUGCCUUUUGCUGACCCGUCUGGAACUGGGAUCCAUUACGUCCACAUGCCUUCCACUUGGCAUUGUCACAGCCACGGUGUCCUUUGGUUGUCACAGGACCACUGCAGGACGUCAAGAGUGGGCCUCAUCAUUUCCAACCAGAGGUUUAAUUGCCUCAGGAGAUAUUACAAUUACCAUACCAACAAUGGAGACAAAAGACAGGCAAGGUUUUGAUUUCCAAAAUUGGAAAUUAGAGUCAAUUGU